GGCAAAUUAAGACGAAUUUCAACAGAAAACCAGUCUCAAACUUCAAAUCGUGAGGGAAGUCGUGCGACUACAUCAGCAUUUAUAAUGUUGCUUCGCUGUCGCCAUUGUUAUAAAUAAAUUGUCUCACUUAUCAGAUCGUGUGUGCAAUUCUUGUUGGCGGCGGAAAGUACGAAAUUAAUUCAGUUAUUUCAUUUGGUGAGAACUCUACAAAAGAAGAGAGCGUUCAGAGUCCAGAUCGUUUCGUUUCAAACGGCAAUUUAAUACCGUCUUCUCUUUUGCUCUCUCAGCGAAGCCUUGUAAAUCGCAAAGUAUUUUGAAUAGGCUUACAUGCAACUGCAUCUCAACAUCAACCACAAGAUAAUUUUCUUGAGGAACAUAUAACGUAUCAAGUCUGUUUGAAAUUAAUGAAACUCAAGUAAAGGUUACUAUAGUUUUAUACCCCAUUCGUAAUAAAUGUUGCUAUUCCAACACCUCACGACAAGCAAUCCUCAUUGGCAUAACGGCAAAAACAUCUCUUCCUUCAAUUAACUGUGCUUCAAGUAAACAAUAAACAGUCUGUUCUUGUUCAUUUGUAAUCGAAAAAAGUGAUCAAUUUUCGAAUUUUUAGCCCGCGUGCAGGCCCAAGGGAGCAGGCUGAAGGGAACUUGACAGUGGGCCUGCAAGCAAGGCCCGGUAUUUUGUACUUUCCGCGUUCGCCCACGAACGCGGCAUUCUGAUUGGCUGUUUGCUGUUGGAUUCUAUAAUUAGGUCAGUGAUUCAUCACAAAGGUAUAGACAAAGGCUCUCGAUAAGCUUAAAAUUCGAAAAGUGAUCAUUUUUUUCGAUUACAAAUGGAACAAGAACAGACUGUUUAUUGUUUACUUGAAGGAAGAGAUGUUUUUGCCGUUAUGCCAACGAGGAUUGCUUGUCGUGAGGUGUUGGAAUAGCAACAUUUAUUGGGCUAUUCCAUUUAAUAUCCGUACCCCCCCUGUCGAGGAUCCCUGGAAUUCUUCAGGGGUAAAGGGUUUUGAGCUUGGAAUUCUUCAGGGGUAAAGUGUUUUGAGCUUGGAAUUCUUCAGGGGUAAAUGGUUUUGAGCUUGGAAUUCUUCAGGGGUAAAGGGUUUUGAGCUUGGAAUUCUUCAGGGGUAAGGAGGUUUGAUUUGAAAUUUUUCAGAGCUUGGAAUUCUUCAGGGGUAAAGGGUUUUCAGCUUGGAAUUCUUCAGGGGUAAAAGGUUUUGAGCUUGGAAUUUUUCAGGUGUAAAGGGUUUUGAGCUUGGAAUUCUUCAGGGGUAAAGGGUUUUGAGCUUGGAAUUCUUCAGGGGUAAAAGGUUUUGAGCUUGGAAUUCUUCAGGGGUAAAGGGUUUUGAGCUUGGAAUUUUGGAAUUCUUCAGGGGUAAAAGAUUUUGAGCUUGGAAUUCUUCAGGGGUAAAGGGUUUUGAGCUUGGAAUUUUGGAAUUCUUCAGGGGUAAAAGGUUUUGAGCUUGGAAUUCUUCAGGGGUAUAACCAUGAAAAACAUGUAUCCUCGACAGGGGGUGAAUGGAUAUUAAAUGGAUAGCCCAUUACGAAUGGGGUAUAAAACUAUAGUAACCUUUACUUGAGUUUCAUUAAUUUCAAACAGACUUGAUACGUUAUAUGUUCCUCAAGAAAAUUAUCUUUUGGUUGAUGUUGAGAUGCAGUUGCAUGUAAGCCUAUUCAAAAUACUUUGCGAUUUACAAGGCUUUGCUGAGAGAGC
rnacentral:lncRNA from 1 species